UACUUAGGGUGCUAGCGUUGUUCGGAAUCAUUGGGCGUAAAGCGCGUGUAGGUGGUUAGUUAAGUCGGGUGUGAAAUCCCUGGGCUCAACCGAGGAAGUGCAUCCGAAACUAACUAGCUAGAGAGUGGUAGAGGAAGGUGGAAUUCCUAGUGUAGAGGUGAAAUUCGUAGAUAUUAGGAAGAACACCAGUGGCGAAGGCGGCUCACUGGCCCGGUACUGACGCUGAGGCGCGAAAGCGUGGGGAGCAAACAGG
rnacentral:rRNA from 1 species